UGGGGAAUAUUGCACAAUGGAGGGAACUCUGAUGCAGCGACGCCGCGUGAACGAAGAAGGCUUUCGAGUCGUAAAGUUCUUUUAUAUGGGAAGAUAAUGACGGUACCAUAAGAAGAAGCCCCGGCUAACUACGUGCCAGCAGCCGCGGUAAUACGUAGGGGGCUAGCGUUGUCCGGAAUCACUGGGCGUAAAGGGUUCGCAGGCGGAAAUGCAAGUCAGGUGUAAAAGGCAGUAGCUUAACUACUGUAAGCAUUUGAAACUGCAUAUCUUGAGAAGAGUAGAGGUAAGUGGAAUUUUUAGUGUAGCGGUGAAAUGCGUAGAUAUUAAAAAGAAUACCGGUGGCGAAGGCGACUUACUGAGCGCAUUCUGACGCUGAGGAACGAAAGCGUGGGUAGCAAACAGG
rnacentral:rRNA from 1 species